rnacentral:rRNA from 1 species
AACGCGAAGAACCUUACCUGGGCUCGAAAUGCAGAGGAAGAUGUCAGAAAUGGCUUCGUCCGAAAGGACUUCUGUAUAGGUGCUGCAUGGCUGUCGUCAGCUCGUGCCGUGAGGUGUUUGGUUAAGUCCAGCAACGAGCGCAACCCUUAUCAUUAGUUGCCAACACGUUAAGGUGGGGACUCUAAUGAGACUGCCUAGGUUAACUAGGAGGAAGGUGGGGAUGACGUCAAGUCCUCAUGGCCUUUAUGUCCAGGGCUACACACGUGCUACAAUGGUCGGUACAAACCGUCGCAAAGCCGCAAGGUGGAGCUAAUCGGAAAAAGCCGGCCUCAGUUCGGAUUGGAGUCUGCAACUCGACUCCAUGAAGCUGGAAUCGCUAGUAAUCGCAGAUCAGAACGCUGCGGUGAAUACGUUCCCGGGCUUGUACACACCGCAUAC